AAAAAAGCAGGGGCCUCUUGCCUUUUGUGAAUGGGCCUCUCGUAGACAUCAGGGAAAUCACUUGGCAUUAUUCUUGGGUGAACCUCUGUUUUGUGUUUGUUGUGGCUGAAGGUUCAAUAAAUGAUGGCACAUUU